AACCUGUUAACCAUGUGAUGGAGAGGAGCUUUCUUGAUUGACUGGGAAGCCAAAUUUGAAUGAAUCCAAAAGGCAUUAACCAGUCAAAAUGAAUCUCUUGACCUGGUUCUUUUUCUUUUCAGCUGGAGUUGAAGAAGGAUGAGCUUCUGGAUGGAGGACAAAUGACCCUGCCAUUGCUUCCAUCUCUUUUGUGACAAUUCUUUCCUGUUUAUUUGUUUAAGUGAAAGAGACUUAGGAAAGUGGUGCUCCGAGCUCUAUAUCCAAGGCUUGACUCCCUUUCCUCGAAAUCCUGGUGACAUAAGGACCACACACGGGACUGACAUGGAUCUGGGAUCUGGGAAAAUUACCUUGUUAGAAGUACGGAAAAUGACAAGAGACUUGGUUCUGGGAGAACAACGAGGAUAUUACUUACCGCAAUAGCCCAGGCCAAAGAAACCACUUUCAAAGGGAUCGACUGAUUCUGACCAUAGCUGAAGCAUUACUAAAUGGUUACAGAAAACAUCUUGGAUUUCUUUCUAUGUGAUGCUGAUUUUGUGAGUCAGACCAAAAAACGGUAGCUGAUAAUUUUGGAAAAUUCAACAAAA
rnacentral:lncRNA from 1 species